rnacentral:rRNA from 1 species
UUACAUCUCUUCGGAGGCAUUUUACGUAGGUGCUGCAUGGUUGUCGUCAGCUCGUGCCGUGAGGUGUCGGGUUAAGGUCCCAUAACGAGCGCAACCCCUACCUUUAGUUGCCAUCAGGUUAAGCUGGGGACUCUAAAGGAACUGCCUACGCAAGUAGUGAGGAAGGCGGGGAUGACGUCAAAUCAGCACGGCCCUUACGUCCAGGGCUACACACGUGCUACAAUGGCCGAUACAGAGGGCAGCUACCUGGUGACAGGAUGCAAAUCUCCAAAGUCGGUCUCAGUUCGGAUCGGAGUCUGCAACCCGACUCCGUGAAGUUGGAUUCGCUAGUAAUCGCGCAUCAGCCAUGGCGCGGUGAAUACGUUCCCGGGCCUU